GAUGGUGAAAGAGGGACAGAGACAGAAAGCAUAAGAAAAUGUCAACUUCGAAAAUUUUCCCAUUAAUAAAAUAUUUAGUUCCUAAAGUAGAUUACUAACUACUAAUGAAUUUAAUGUCACAACAAGGAUAGAAUAAGAAUAAAGCGACAUCGAAAAGAUUGCAAAUUGCAAAGCAAAAUGAUGUGAGAGAAAGAGAGUGAGAGAGAGAGAGAAUGUAAGGUAGAGGAGAGUUCUUCGGAAAAGGUUGCGGCAUAAAAAGUAAAAAUUUAUAAAAGGCAAGAUAUGCAAUAUGUUGGAGACGACUGGCCAAAUAUAGAGUGAGAUGCUGGCCGGGCGAACGAGCACGCAGGCAUGUACGAAUCGUAAGCAUUCGAGUAGUACACUUUCGUAUAUCAUAGAUCGAUACCGAAAUCACUAUUCAUCGUAAAACAAUUCUGAAUUCCAUGUGUCUUUAUCACUUAAUGCCUUUAGGAAGCUUCGUUUACUGCUUCGUAUACUCGGGUAUGUAAGUACCGUGAGCACACACAGAACACUCUGUGUGCUAAAAACGAAAUCUUAUUCCACGUUUUAACAAAUGAAAAAAUCGUUAUAGCCCGUAUAUCUACCCUAUUAUUAUCUUCUAUAUCAUUUGGAUAAAUGUGAUUAGCGCCAAUUGGCAAUUUAACAAAAUUCUUACCGAGAGGAAGAAUCAACUCAACACACAAUUUCUCAAGGAAACUACAAAA